ensembl:snoRNA SNORA70 Small nucleolar RNA SNORA70
CUGCAAUCAAUGAAGCUAACUCUAUUACCUUGCUGGUGGGUGCUCAGCAUGUAGUGUUUGCCAAUAGCAACUUCCUCAGGCGUGUAUGCAGCCUGUUGCUUGUACAGGCUGCCUUAAAGGGUCUUGGAGAUGCUG